UUUCCAUGUGCAUCACUAGCAUCACAAGAGCCAACACUGGCACCUACAACUGUGUGAAGUUCUGGAAAGGGGGCCCUGACAUGGAGCUUAAAUCUGGACCAGGCACUGAGUUGUCUGUGCAUAUGGAAGUUUAGGUUCCAAUGGGCCCCAUUUCAGAUGAGCAGAGCCUUGCAUGUGGGACAAUCUACGGUUCAUGAUUGCAACAGGAGAGUAUUGUUCCUAGAUCUGGACUCCAGGAUGGGAGAGCCCAGUAGGAGUGGCAGGUGAGGAGCUGCAGGUGAUUCAGCCUGAGGCAUUUGUGUCAGUUGCAGCUGGAGAGAUGGCCACUCUGAACUGCACUGUGACCUCCCUGCUCCCUGUGGGACCCAUCCAGUGGUUCAGAGGAGCUUGUCCAGGCCAGAAAUUAAUCUAUAGUCCAAAAAGAUGCCACUCUCCCCGGGUAACAACUAUUUCAGACCAGAGAAAGAGAAACAGCACAGACUAUUCCAUCCGCAUCAGUAGCAUCACCCUCGAAGAUGCUGGCACCUACUACUGUAUGAAGCUCCGGAGAGCAAUUCCUGCCAACGUGGAGAUUAAGUCUGGACCAGGGACUCAGAUGUCUGUGCGUGUCCGGGUGCCAGCUCCUACUGCCUCACUCCUCCUAGGUCUCCUCCUGGGCUCCAAGGUGCUGCUGCUGGUUGAUGUCUCUGCUGCCUAUGUCCACCGGAAGCAGAAGGCCUGACUCUCCUUUCCUCCUCCCCUGCCAUGUGGGACCCUCAGUCUGUGCUGCCUCCUUCCUUCCUUGAAGGGCUCAGCUGGAGAGAAGGAGCUGGCGAGAAGCUUCCCCAGACUCAGCUCCAAAUGCCUGUCCUCCCAGGACAUCUUCCUGCCCACAGGCUCCUGUUGCUCCUUUGCAGAGUCCUUGAUGCUCCAUAGCAGGGUCUUCAUUCAUGGUCCUGA